rnacentral:lncRNA from 1 species
UUUGGUUUCUGAAAUUGUACUCAGUGUAAUCCUUCCAAAAAUUAUAUGAAUAAAAGAGAUUUUUUAUGGUCAAUCAAAUUUGUUAAUGUUGUUAUUAUAUAUUUGCAAAUAAAAUAGUAUGUUCCUUGAAAAUAAAAACAAACAAAACAUUGCAUUUCAUGCAUCAUUUGCAUAACAGGUUUUCUUCUGCCAGAUGUCUUAUUGGUUAUUCUUCCGUGCUUCAGCCAAGCUGACUCAUUGAUAUAACACUC